AUGCCCCAGUGGGAUAGAUGAUUUGAUUUUUAUUUCACUAUGUUAGGAGCACUGUAGGAGGUAAAUUUUACUGUAAGUAACGAGUCCUCCCCCUGCAAACCAUAGUGUCGGAAGGAAUUUCGACCGGAGUGCAUGCGUUUCGUCUGUAUGAGUAAAAAUGUUCCGCGGUGAGACGACAAAAGGCGCCAAAAUAAGAUUCGAGAGCAAAAUACCUCGUAAAUAUAAAAGGAAACAGGGUGUUGUCCCUCGUACUGUAACCUAGACCGAAGACAGUAUGCUAGCAGCGUUUGAAGAGAUGAAAAAAGGAGAGAAAGGCGUAAAUCAGAUUUCUAGAAUAUAAGGAAUACCAUCUAAAAUAUUAAGACGAAGAUUUGCCGUUAACAGCAAUUUUUAUUUUCAAAGUUACUGUAUGUGUUGUUGUUUUAAAUUUGAAUUACUUUUAAUUUGUAUUGUAUUGCAUCAUAUCAUUGUAGUUACUGUCUGGCAUAAUUAUUACUGAAAAAAAUUAUAUAUAUCCAGCAUU